GGGGGGGGGGGGGGGGGGGGGGGGGGGGGGCGGGGCGGGGGGGGGGGGGGGGCGGGCUGCGGGGUUCGGCGGCGGACGGGGGGGUAAUGCCUAGGAAUCUGCCUGGGAGUGGGGGAUAACGGCCGGAAACGGGCGCUAAUACCGCAUACGUCCUGAGGGAGAAAGGGGGGGAUCUUCGGACCUCACGCUAUCAGAUGAGCCUAGGUCGGAUUAGCUAGUUGGUGGGGUAAAGGCCUACCAAGGCGACGAUCCGUAACUGGUCUGAGAGGAUGAUCAGUCACACUGGAACUGAGACACGGUCCAGACUCCUACGGGAGGCAGCAGUGGGGAAUAUUGGACAAUGGGCGAAAGCCUGAUCCAGCCAUGCCGCGUGUGUGAAGAAGGUCUUCGGAUUGUAAAGCACUUUAAGUUGGGAGGAAGGGCAGUAAGUUAAUACCUUGCUGUUUUGACGUUACCAACAGAAUAAGCACCGGCUAACUUCGUG
rnacentral:rRNA from 1 species